rnacentral:lncRNA from 1 species
UAUGGAGAGAGAGAGAGAGAGAGUUGAGCUAGAAUACUCUCAAAAGCACCAAGAGGGUGGUGCUUUUGAGUUUUUGGCCAUUGGAUGAAGAGAUGUAAGGUUGGGAUGAUGGUAGUAGGUGGUGGUAGGUGGAAUAGUGUUUAAUCCAAGGGCUAUUAGUAAUCAAGGAGUAGAUCCAAGGGCUAGAAAACUAGAAGCACCAAGGAGUUGGUGCUUCUAAAAGUAUUCUAGCUCAAUUCUAUAUAUAUAUAUAUAUAUAUACAUAGAGAGAGAGAGAGAGAGAGAGGGAUCUAGGCUGGUAUACUAUCGGUAUCACGGAGGUCUCCAUGCUCUUCAUUUGUUUUCAAUGAUGUAGGUUUCAAAUCGACGAUCGGCUUCGUUAAACUUGAUCUACACUAUUGAAAGUAUUUGGAAACCAAAUUUCAUAAUUUUUCAACAUCAUUGACUUAUCAAACGAAUAGUUUAAAAGUAAACGGCUGAAAAUAAAAAUCUCAUAAAAAAUGAUGAUAAAAGACUUGAAUUUAAGAUUAGAGUUACUGAUCUAACUCUAAAUAAUGACAAAAAAAAUUAUAAAAAUUUCAUCAGAUUUGAAUUGUUUUACACCGUUAAAUUCACAAACACAUGACAUCGAGCAUUAAAAUUGUCAAUUUCGAGACAUUUUGAUUACUAGCCAAAUGAUGUCAAAAAAUUAUAAAAUUAUGUUUCCAAAUACUUUCAAUAGUGUAAAUCAAGUCUAACGGAGCCGAUCAUCGAUUUGAAAGCAGUAUCAUUGAAAACAAUUUGGUAGCACGGCCUCUGUGCUACCGAUAGUAUACCGGUCUAGCUAUAUAUAUAU